rnacentral:rRNA from 1 species
UACGUAGGGUCCAAGCGUUAUCCGGAAUCACUGGGCGUAAAGCGUGCGUAGGUGGAUGUUUAAGUGUAUUGCGAAAUCUUGUGGCUCAACCAUAUAGACUGUAAUACAUACUGGAUAUCUAGAGGACGGCAGAGGCAAGUGGAAUUUGUAGUGUAGCAGUGAAAUGUGUAGAUAUUACAAGGAACACCAAUGGCGAAGGCAGCUUGCUGGGCCACUCCUGACACUGAGGUACGAAAGCGUGGGGAGCGAACAGG